rnacentral:rRNA from 1 species
CCCUUAGAUGUUCUGGGCCGCACGCGCGCUACACUGAUGCAUUCAACGAGUCUAAAACCUGGUCUGAUAGGGCUGGGUAAUCUUUUGAAAGUGCAUCGUGAUUGGGAUAGAUGAUUGCAAUUCUUCAUCUUCAACGAGGAAUGCCUAGUAAACGCAAGUCAUCAGCUUGCAUUGAUUACGUCCCUGCCCUUUGUACACACCGCCCGUCGCUCCUACCGAUUGAAUGAUCCGAUGAAUACCAUGGAUUGAGAGUACGAAUGGGUUCGCUCAUUUCUGCUGCUCGAGAAGUGGAGUAAAUCUUAUCAUUUAGAGGAAGGAGAAGUCGUAACAA